UUUUGUUGUUGUUGUUUUAAGCCCUGGGCUUUCCAGGCUGAACUUUCUCACUACCAUUACACUGAAAAAGAGCCCUUGAAAGUUUUGCUCGGAUCUUGCACAUUCUUUUGGAAGUCUUACUGUGGAAAUUGUCCGUGUUUUCAGCUUCCACAUCCCUUUCUCCUGGGAGAUUUCUUUUCCGUUUUUUUAACUUUGUCCCUUUUCUUUCCUCCGCAACUGCUUUGUUGUUGUUGUUGUUUCUUGUAAACCACUUCUCAAAAGUGAACUAGUUGCCGUUUAAUAGAAGUUUGGAUGAACUGCCCCCAAAAUAAAGGAAAUCCGAACAGUCAUGAAAGUUGACUCCAAUUGGAGGGAUGGCUCUCAUCAAUUACUCUUUCCACAGGAAUUGAACAGCUUGGACUUGGAGACAGUGAGUUAAAACAGAAAUAAGAAGGCGGCAGAAAAAGACUACCAGAUUGAAAUGUGUUGGAUAUUCAUAUCCACCCAGCACCUCAGAAUGUGGCCAUGGAGGAUGGAGACAGAGAUUGGAGUGACGCAUCUUCAAGCCUAGGAACACUAAGGAUUGCUGGUAAUCACCAGAAGCUGGAAGAGGCAAGAAAGUGUCCU
rnacentral:antisense_RNA from 1 species